AGCGAACGCUGGCGGCAGGCCUAACACAUGCAAGUCGAACGAACCCUUCGGGGUUAGUGGCGGACGGGUGAGUAACACGUGGGAACGUGCCUUUAGGUUCGGAAUAACUCAGGGAAACUUGUGCUAAUACCGAAUGUGCCCUUCGGGGGAAAGAUUUAUCGCCUUUAGAGCGGCCCGCGUCUGAUUAGCUAGUUGGUGAGGUAAUGGCUCACCAAGGCUACGAUCAGUAGCUGGUCUGAGAGGAUGACCAGCCACAUUGGGACUGAGACACGGCCCAAACUCCUACGGGAGGCAGCAGUGGGAAAUCUGGCGCAAUGGGCGAAAGCCUGACGCAGCCAUGCCGCGUGGAUGAUGAAGGUCUUAGGAUUGUAAAAUCCUUUCACCGGUGAAGAUAAUGACUGUAGCCGGAGAAGAAGCCCCGGCUAACUUCGUGCCAGCCGCCGCUGUAAGAC
rnacentral:rRNA from 1 species